UGCCCUGUACAGGGGGAUAACAGCUGGAAACGGCUGCUAAUACCGCAUAAGCGCACGAGGAGACAUCUCCUUGUGUGAAAAACUCCGGUGGUACAGGAUGGGCCCGCGUCUGAUUAGCUGGUUGGCAGGGUAACGGCCUACCAAGGCAACGAUCAGUAGCCGGUCUGAGAGGAUGAACGGCCACAUUGGAACUGAGACACGGUCCAAACUCCUACGGGAGGCAGCAGUGGGGAAUAUUGCACAAUGGGGGAAACCCUGAUGCGGCAACGCCGCGUGAGUGAAGAAGUAUUUCGGUAUGUAAAGCUCUAUCAGCAGGGAAGAUAAUGACGGUACCUGACUAAGAAGCUCCGGCUAAAUACGUGCCAGCAGCCGCGGUAAUACGUAUGGAGCAAGCGUUAUCCGGAUUUACUGGGUGUAAAGGGUGCGUAGGUGGCAGUGCAAGUCAGAUGUGAAAGGCCGGGGCUCAACCCCGGAGCUGCAUUUGAAACUGCUCGGCUAGAGUACAGGAGAGGCAGGCGGAAUUCCUAGUGUAGCGGUGAAAUGCGUAGAUAUUAGGAGGAACACCAGUGGCGAAGGCGGCCUGCUGGACUGUUACUGACACUGAGGCACGAAAGCGUGGGGAGCAAACAGGAUUAGAUACCCUGGUAGUCCACGCCAUAAACGAUGAAUACUAGGUGUCGGGGCCGUAUAGGCUCCGGUGCCGCCG
rnacentral:rRNA from 1 species